UACGUAGGGGGCGAGCGUUGUCCGGAUUCAUUGGGCGUAAAGCGCGCGUAGGCGGCCCCGCAAGUCGGCCGUGAAAUCUCCGGGCUCAACUCGGAGGGGUCGGGCGAGACUGCGGAGCUCGAGGUGGGCAGAGGGCAGUGGAAUUCCGGGUGUAGUGGUGGAAUGCGUAGAGAUCCGGAGGAACACCUGUGGCGAAAGCGGCGCACUGGACCACAACUGACGCUGAGGCGCGAAAGCUAGGGGAGCAAACAGG
rnacentral:rRNA from 1 species